rnacentral:rRNA from 1 species
AAGGGUUUAUGGCCCCAUGGAUUUACCGCCCAANGCUUUGGUACCCGAAGCUUCGGAUUCCCACUUAGUAACCGGCCCGCCCAGUUGUGCUUGGAAUUUCGCCCUUUCGCGGCCNUAUCAAGCUUUGUUUGGUGAGGUAAUGGCCCCACCAAAGACGACGACGGGGUAGCCGGCCUGAGAGGGGCGCCCGGCCACACUUGGGACUGAGACACGGCCCAGAUUCUUACGGGAGGCAGCAGUGGGGAAUAUUGCACAAUGGGGGAAACCCUGAUGCAGCGACGCAGCGUGCGGGAUGACGGCCUUCGGGUUGUAAACCGCUUUCAGCAGGGAAGAAGCCCCUCGGGGUGACGGUACCUGCAGAAGAAGUACCGGCUAACUACGUGCCAGCAGCCGCGGUAAUACGUAGGGUACAAGCGUUGUCCGGAAUUAUUGGGCGUAAAGAGCUCGUAGGUGGUUGGUCACGUCUGCUGUGAAAACGCAACGCUUAACGUUGCGCGUGCAGUGGGUACGGGCUGACUAGAGUGCAGUAGGGGAGUCUGGAAUUCCUGGUGUAGCGGUGAAAUGCGCAGAUAUCAGGAGGAACACCGGUGGCGAAGGCGGGACUCUGGGCUGUAACUGACACUGAGGAGCGAAAGCAUGGGGAGCGAACAGGAUUAGAUACCCUGGUAGUCCAUGCCGUAAACGUUGGGCACUAGGUGUGGGGGACAUUCCACGUUCUCCGCGCCGUAGCUAACGCAUUAAGUGCCCCGCCUGGGGAGUACGG